rnacentral:rRNA from 1 species
AUUGAACGCUGGCGGCAUGCCUUACACAUGCAAGUCGAACGGCAGCACUGGUGCUUGCACCUGGUGGCGAGUGGCGAACGGGUGAGUAAUGCAUCGGAACGUACCUUAUCGUGGGGGAUAACGCAGCGAAAGCUGUGCUAAUACCGCAUACGCCCUGAGGGGGAAAGCGGGGGAUCGAAAGACCUCGCGCGAUUAGAGCGGCCGAUGCCUGAUUAGCUUGUUGGUGGGGUAAAAGCCCACCAAGGCGACGAUCAGUAGCUGGUCUGAGAGGACGAUCAGCCACACUGGGACUGAGACACGGCCCAGACUCCUACGGGAGGCAGCAGUGGGGAAUUUUGGACAAUGGGGGCAACCCUGAUCCAGCAAUGCCGCGUGAUGGAAGAAGGCCUUCGGGUUGUAAAGCUCUUUUGUCAGGGAAGAAACACCGGCUCUAACACAGUCCGGGAAUGACGGUACCUGAAGAAUAAGCACCGGCUAACUACGUGCCAGCCGCCGCCGUAA